CCUACGGGAGGCAGCAGUGAGGAAUAUUGGUCAAUGGGCGAGAGCCUGAACCAGCCAAGUCGCGUGAAGGAAGAAGGAUCUAUGGUUCGUAAACUUCUUUUUUAGGGGAAUAAAGUGCGGUACGUGUACCGUUUUGUAUGUACCCUACGAAUAAGGAUCGGCUAACUCCGUGCCAGCAGCCGCGGUAAUACGGAGGAUCCGAGCGUUAUCCGGAUUUAUUGGGUUUAAAGGGUGCGUAGGCGGAAGAAUAAGUCAGUGGUGAAAGUUUGCAGCUCAACUGUAAAAUUGCCGUUGAAACUGUUUUUCUUGAGUGUAAAUGAGGUAGGCGGAAUGUGUUGUGUAGCGGUGAAAUGCUUAGAUAUGACACAGAACACCGAUUGCGAAGGCAGCUUACUAAGAUACAACUGACGCUGAGGCACGAAAGCGUGGGGAUCGAACAGGAUUAGAUACCCUGGUAGUCCACGCAGUAAACGAUGAUUACUAGCUGUUUGCGAUAUACUGUAAGUGGCUAAGCGAAAGCGAUAAGUAAUCCACCUGGGGAGUACGUUCGCAAGAAUGAAACUCAAAGGAAUUGACGG
rnacentral:rRNA from 1 species